rnacentral:rRNA from 1 species
GGUUAAGCGACUAAGCGUACACGGUGGAUGCCCUGGCAGUCAGAGGCGAUGAAGGACGUGCUAAUCUGCGAUAAGCGUCGGUAAGGUGAUAUGAACCGUUAUAACCGGCGAUUUCCGAAUGGGGAAACCCAGUGUGAUUCGUCACACUAUCAUUAACUGAAUCCAUAGGUUAAUGAGGCGAACCGGGGGAACUGAAACAUCUAAGUACCCCGAGGAAAAGAAAUCAACCGAGAUUCCCCCAGUAGCGGCGAGCGAACGGGGAGGAGCCCAGAGUCUGAAUCAGUGUGUGUGUUAGUGGAAGCGUCUGGAAAGGCGCGCGAUACAGGGUGACAGCCCCGUACACAAAAAUGCACAUACUGUGAGCUCGAUGAGUAGGGCGGGACACGUGGUAUCCUGUCUGAAUAUGGGGGGACCAUCCUCCAAGGCUAAAUACUCCUGACUGACCGAUAGUGAACCAGUACCGUGAGGGAAAGGCGAAAAGAACCCCGGCGAGGGGAGUGAAAAAGAACCUGAAACCGUGUACGUACAAGCAGUGGGAGCCUCUUUAUGGGGUGACUGCGUACCUUUUGUAUAAUGGGUCAGCGACUUAUAUUCUGUAGCAAGGUUAACCGAAUAGGGGAGCCGAAGGGAAACCGAGUCUUAACUGGGCGUUAAGUUGCAGGGUAUAGACCCGAAACCCGGUGAUCUAGCCAUGGGCAGGUUGAAGGUUGGGUAACACUAACUGGAGGACCGAACCGACUAAUGUUGAAAAAUUAGCGGAUGACUUGUGGCUGGGGGUGAAAGGCCAAUCAAACCGGGAGAUAGCUGGUUCUCCCCGAAAGCUAUUUAGGUAGCGCCUCGUGAAUUCAUCUCCGGGGGUAGAGCACUGUUUCGGCAAGGGGGUCAUCCCGACUUACCAACCCGAUGCAAACUGCGAAUACCGGAGAAUGUUAUCACGGGAGACACACGGCGGGUGCUAACGUCCGUCGUGAAGAGGGAAACAACCCAGACCGCCAGCUAAGGUCCCAAAGUCAUGGUUAAGUGGGAAACGAUGUGGGAAGGCCCAGACAGCCAGGAUGUUGGCUUAGAAGCAGCCAUCAUUUAAAGAAAGCGUAAUAGCUCACUGGUCGAGUCGGCCUGCGCGGAAGAUGUAACGGGGCUAAACCAUGCACCGAAGCUGCGGCAGCGACGCUUAUGCGUUGUUGGGUAGGGGAGCGUUCUGUAAGCCUGUGAAGGUGUGCUGUGAGGCAUGCUGGAGGUAUCAGAAGUGCGAAUGCUGACAUAAGUAACGAUAAAGCGGGUGAAAAGCCCGCUCGCCGGAAGACCAAGGGUUCCUGUCCAACGUUAAUCGGGGCAGGGUGAGUCGACCCCUAAGGCGAGGCCGAAAGGCGUAGUCGAUGGGAAACAGGUUAAUAUUCCUGUACUUGGUGUUACUGCGAAGGGGGGACGGAGAAGGCUAUGUUGGCCGGGCGACGGUUGUCCCGGUUUAAGCGUGUAGGCUGGUUUUCCAGGCAAAUCCGGAAAAUCAAGGCUGAGGCGUGAUGACGAGGCACUACGGUGCUGAAGCAACAAAUGCCCUGCUUCCAGGAAAAGCCUCUAAGCAUCAGGUAACAUCAAAUCGUACCCCAAACCGACACAGGUGGUCAGGUAGAGAAUACCAAGGCGCUUGAGAGAACUCGGGUGAAGGAACUAGGCAAAAUGGUGCCGUAACUUCGGGAGAAGGCACGCUGAUAUGUAGGUGAAGUCCCUCGCGGAUGGAGCUGAAAUCAGUCGAAGAUACCAGCUGGCUGCAACUGUUUAUUAAAAACACAGCACUGUGCAAACACGAAAGUGGACGUAUACGGUGUGACGCCUGCCCGGUGCCGGAAGGUUAAUUGAUGGGGUCAGCGCAAGCGAAGCUCUUGAUCGAAGCCCCGGUAAACGGCGGCCGUAACUAUAACGGUCCUAAGGUAGCGAAAUUCCUUGUCGGGUAAGUUCCGACCUGCACGAAUGGCGUAAUGAUGGCCAGGCUGUCUCCACCCGAGACUCAGUGAAAUUGAACUCGCUGUGAAGAUGCAGUGUACCCGCGGCAAGACGGAAAGACCCCGUGAACCUUUACUAUAGCUUGACACUGAACAUUGAGCCUUGAUGUGUAGGAUAGGUGGGAGGCUUAGAAGUGUGGACGCCAGUCUGCAUGGAGCCGACCUUGAAAUACCACCCUUUAAUGUUUGAUGUUCUAACGUUGACCCGUAAUCCGGGUUGCGGACAGUGUCUGGUGGGUAGUUUGACUGGGGCGGUCUCCUCCUAAAGAGUAACGGAGGAGCACGAAGGUUGGCUAAUCCUGGUCGGACAUCAGGAGGUUAGUGCAAUGGCAUAAGCCAGCUUGACUGCGAGCGUGACGGCGCGAGCAGGUGCGAAAGCAGGUCAUAGUGAUCCGGUGGUUCUGAAUGGAAGGGCCAUCGCUCAACGGAUAAAAGGUACUCCGGGGAUAACAGGCUGAUACCGCCCAAGAGUUCAUAUCGACGGCGGUGUUUGGCACCUCGAUGUCGGCUCAUCACAUCCUGGGGCUGAAGUAGGUCCCAAGGGUAUGGCUGUUCGCCAUUUAAAGUGGUACGCGAGCUGGGUUUAGAACGUCGUGAGACAGUUCGGUCCCUAUCUGCCGUGGGCGCUGGAGAACUGAGGGGGGCUGCUCCUAGUACGAGAGGACCGGAGUGGACGCAUCACUGGUGUUCGGGUUGUCAUGCCAAUGGCACUGCCCGGUAGCUAAAUGCGGAAGAGAUAAGUGCUGAAAGCAUCUAAGCACGAAACUUGCCCCGAGAUGAGUUCUCCCUGACCCUUUAAGGGUCCUGAAGGAACGUUGAAGACGACGACGUUGAUAGGCCGGGUGUGUAAGCGCAGCGAUGCGUUGAGCUAACCGGUACUAAUGAACCGUGAGGCUUAACCUU